rnacentral:rRNA from 1 species
GAGUUUGAUCGUGGCUCAGAGUGAACGCUGGCGGUAGGCCUAACACAUGCAAGUCGAACGGCAGCACAGUAAGAGCUUGCUCUUAUGGGUGGCGAGUGGCGGACGGGUGAGGAAUACAUCGGAAUCUACUUUUCGUGAGGGAUAACGUAGGGAAACUUACGCUAAUACCGCAUACGACCUACGGGUGAAAGCAGGGGAUCUUCGGACCUUGCGCGAUUGAAUGAGCCGAUGUCGGAUUAGCUAGUUGGCGGGUAAAGGCCCACCAAGGCGACGAUCCGUAGCUGGUCUGAGAGGAUGAUCAGCCACACUGGAACUGAGACACGGUCCAGACUCCUACGGGAGGCAGCAGUGGGGAAUAUUGGACAAUGGGCGCAAGCCUGAUCCAGCCAUACCGCGUGGGUGAAGAAGGCCUCGGUUGU